rnacentral:misc_RNA from 1 species
GUAAUUUGGAUCUUCUUUCUCCCCUCUAACUAGACUCUGACUAAAAAUCUUCACAAACCAUGGGAAAGUCUAUGUUCUUGAAUUUCUAUAUAAGCUUCUUGCAUUUCAUGUUUUUCUAUUUUUUUUAAUCUUAUUUAUUAAUUCAUUUAUUUUAUUUUAUUUAUUUAAUUAUAAAGAUUCUAAGGUAGAUUAGAAUUAAAGUUCUUUAUUUGAAGUUAGUUUCUUUCUCAUUCAUUUUU